UACGAGGGGGGCGAGCGUUGUUCGGAAUUAUUGGGCGUAAAGGGCGCGUAGGCGGUGCGGUAAGUCACCUGUGAAACCUCUGGGCUUAACUCAGAGCCUGCAGGCGAAACUGCCGUGCUGGAGUGUGGGAGAGGUGCGUGGAAUUCCCGGUGUAGCGGUGAAGUGCGUAGAUAUCGGGAGGAACACCUGUGGCGAAAGCGGCGCACUGGACCACAACUGACGCUGAGGCGCGAAAGCUAGGGGAGCAAACAGG
rnacentral:rRNA from 1 species